GGCUCUUUGGUCUAGAGGUAUGAUUCUCGCUUUGGGCGCCCCGUGCAUCUCACGAUGCUCGAAGCAUUCCCAUGCUCGUUUGCGAGAGGCCCCGGGUUCGAAUCCCGGAAGAGCCC